AGGCGCUAGGUGCUGGUGUUUAUAGGAUUCACGAGUGGAAUGUCAAAGGAGAUGUCAUUCUUUAUAUUUUAUAUUCAGACGCCUGCGACGCCAGACUCGCGCGAUCAGACUUCGCGCCGGCGACAAUAUUUCGCACGAUGAAGUCGAAUAUAUCUACAAAGAUUCUUCCACACUUGAGUGACGAUUGAAACUUAUUAUAUAAUUAAACAUCUGUUCCUAAUUAAGUGUUACUAAUUUUGUCUUUAAAAUAUAUAAUAUAAAUGUGAUACUUGU
rnacentral:misc_RNA from 1 species